rnacentral:rRNA from 1 species
UAGAGACGGUGCGAGCGUUAAUCGGAAUUACUGUGCGUAAAGCGUGCGGAGGCGGUCGUGUAAGUCGGGUGUGAAAGCCCCGGGCUCAACCUGGGAAUUGCAUUCGAGACUGCACGGCUGGAGUGCGGAAGAGGGAAGCGGAAUUUCCGGUGUAGCGGGGAAAUGCGUAGAUAUCGGCAGGAACAUCAGUGGCGAACGAGCGCUCCUGGUACCGCACCGACCCCCCGGAACGAAAUCGUGGGGAGCAAACAGG